AUUGAACGCUGGCGGCAGGCUUAACACAUGCAAGUCGAACGAGUGGCGGACGGGUGAGUAAUGCUUGGGAAACUGGCUUAUGGAGGGGGUUAACUACUGGAACCGUUGGCUAUUCCCCCUUACCAUCGGUUUGCCCCAGAUGGGAUUAGGUAGUUGGUGGGGUAAAGGCUCACCAAGCCGACGAUCUCUAGCUGGUCUGAGAGGAUGACCAGCCACACUGGAACUGAGACACGGCCCAGACUCCUACGGGAGGCAGCAGUGGGGAAUAUUGCGCAAUGGGGGCAAGCCUGAUGCAGCCAUGCCGCGUGAAUGAAGAAGGCCUUCGGGUUGUAAAGUUCUUUCGGUGGCGAGGCGUUAACUACAGAAGAAGCACCGGCUAACUCCGUGCCAGCAGCCGCGGUAAUUC
rnacentral:rRNA from 1 species